GAUGAACGCUGGCGGCGUGCCUAAUACAUGCAAGUCGAGCGAAUGGAUUAAGAGCUUGCUCUUAUGAAGUUAGCGGCGGACGGGUGAGUAACACGUGGGUAACCUGCCCAUAAGACUGGGAUAACUCCGGGAAACCGGGGCUAAUACCGGAUAACAUUUUGAACCGCAUGGUUCGAAAUUGAAAGGCGGCUUCGGCUGUCACUUAUGGAUGGACCCGCGUCGCAUUAGCCAGUUGGUGAGGUAACGGCUCACCAAGGCAACGAUGCGUAGCCGACCUGAGAGGGUGAUCGGCCAAACUGGGACUGAGACAUGGCCCAGACUCCUACGGGAGGCAGCAGUAGGGAAUCUUCCGCAAUGGACGAAAGUCUGACGGAGCAACGCCGCGUGAGUGAUGAAGGCUUUCGGGUCGUAAAACUCUGUUGUUAGGGAAGAACAAGUGCUAGUUGAAUAAGCUGGCACCUUGACGGUACCUAACCAGAAAGCCACGGCUAACUACGUGCCAGCCGCCGCGGUAA
rnacentral:rRNA from 1 species